rnacentral:rRNA from 1 species
UUCCGGUUGAUCCCGCCGGAGGUUACUGCUAUCGAGGUUCGACUAAGCCAUGCGAGUCGAAUGUAGCAAUACAUGGCGAACUGCUCAGUAACACGUGGACAACCUGCCCUUAGGACGGGGAUAAACCCGGGAAACUGGGUAUAAUACCCGAUAGGUCUCGAUUGCUGGAAUGCAUCGAGAUUUAAAGCUCCGGCGCCUAAGGAUGGGUCUGCGGCCUAUCAGGUAGUAGUGGGUGUAGCGUACCUACUAGCCUACGACGGGUACGGGUUGUGAGAGCAAGAGCCCGGAGAUGGAUUCUGAGACACGAAUCCAGGCCCUACGGGGUGCAGCAGGCGCGAAAACUUUACAAUGCUGGCAACAGCGAUAAGGGAACCUCGAGUGCCAGGUUACAAAUCUGGCUGUCGAGAUGCCUAAAAAKCAUUUCAUAKCAAGRGCCGGGCAAGACCGGURCCAGCCGCMGCGGUAACACCGGCGGCUCGAGUGGUAACCGUUAUUAUUGGGUMUAAAGGGUCUGUAGCCGGCCGGAUAAGUCUCUUGAKAAAUCUGGCAGMUUAACWGUCAGGCUUUCAGGAGAUACUGUMUGGCUCGAGGCCGGGAGAGGUGAGAGGUAAUUCAGGGGUAGGGGUGAAAUCUUGUAAUCCUUGAAGGACCACCAGUGGCGAAGGCGUCUCACCAGAACGGACCUGACGGCAAGGGACGAAAGCUAGGGGCACGAACCGGAUUAGAUACCCGGGUAGUCCUAGCCGUAAACGAUACUCGCUAGGUGUCGGCCACGGUGCGACCGUUGUCGGUGCCGUAGGGAAGCCGUGAAGCGAGCCACCUGGGAAGUACGGCCGCAAGGCUGAAACUUAAAGGAAUUGGCGGGGGAGCACCACAACGGGUGGAGCUUGCGGUUUAAUUGGAUUCAACGCCGGA